rnacentral:rRNA from 1 species
AUUGAACGCUGGCGGCAGGCCUAACACAUGCAAGUCGAACGGUAGCACAGAGAGCUUGCUCUCGGGUGACGAGUGGCGGACGGGUGAGUAAUGUCUGGGAAACUGCCCGAUGGAGGGGGAUAACUACUGGAAACGGUAGCUAAUACCGCAUAAUGUCGCAAGACCAAAGAGGGGGACCUUCGGGCCUCUUGCCAUCGGAUGUGCCCAGAUGGGAUUAGCUUGUUGGUGAGGUAAUGGCUCACCAAGGCGACGAUCCCUAGCUGGUCUGAGAGGAUGACCAGCCACACUGGAGCUGAGACACGGUCCAGACUCCUACGGGAGGCAGCAGUGGGGAAUAUUGCACAAUGGGCGCAAGCCUGAUGCAGCCAUGCCGCGUGUGUGAAGAAGGCCUUCGGGUUGUAAAGCACUUUCAGCGGGGAGGAAGGCGAUACGGUUAAUAACCGUGUUGAUUGACGUUACCCGCAGAAGAAGCACCGGCUAACUCCGUG